GACCACAUCACUGACGCUCAUGCACGAAAGCGUGGGUAUCGAACAGGAUUAGAUACCUGGUAGUCCACGCAGUAAACGAUGAUGACUAGCUGUCCGGGGCGAUUGUGCUCUGGGCGGCACAGCGAAAGCGUUAAGUCAUCCACCUGGGGAGUACGCCGGCAACGGUGAAACUCAAAGGAAUUGACGGGGGCCCGCACAAGCGGAGGAACAUGUGGUUUAAUUCGAUGAUACGCGAGGAACCUUACCCGGGCUCAAACGACAGUGGACCGCACCUGAAAGGGUGCUUCCAGCAAUGGCCGCUGUCGAGGUGCUGCAUGGUUGUCGUCAGCUCGUGCCGUGAGGUGUCGGCUUAAGUGCCAUAACGAGCGCAACCCCCAUCUUCAGUUGCCACCGCGUAAUGGCGGGCACUCUGGAGAGACUGCCGGCGCAAGCUGUGAGGAAGGCGGGGAUGACGUCAAAUCAGCACGGCCCUUACGUCCGGGGCGACACACGUGUUACAAUGGCGGGGCACAGAAGGAAGCCAGGCGGCGACGCCGAGCCGAUCCCAAAAACCCGUCUCAGUUCGGAUCGGAGUCUGCAACCCGACUCCGUGAAGCUGGA
rnacentral:rRNA from 1 species